GUUUUUGUAGUUGAGUUACAACACUGAUUUUUCAUUUCGGAGGUCUGGUUUAGGAUUGCCAGUAAAAACG
rnacentral:tRNA from 1 species